rnacentral:rRNA from 1 species
AAACCAACAGGGAUUGCCCUAGUAACGGCGAGUGAACAGGCAAGAGCUCAGAUUUGAAAGGCACUUUGUGCCAUUGUAUUCUGAAGUUAGGAUUCUUGGAACCGGUACCUAAGUUUUCUGGAAAGAAACGCCAUAGAGGGUGAUAGCCCCGUACGGUACUGACCCAAUAUAGUUUCCUAACAUGGAGUCGAGUUGUUUGGGAAUGCAGCUCAAAUGGGUGGUAUGCUCCAUCUAAGGCUAAAUAUUUGCGAGAGACCGAUAGCGAACAAGUACUGUGAAGGAAAGAUGAAAAGAACUUUGAAAAGAGAGUGAAAUAGUACGUGAAAUUGUUGAAAUGGAAGGGUAGGCUGCUAACCAUGUAGAACCGUGUUUGGGGGGAAGAUAAAAGCUACAGAACGUAACUCCUCGGAGCAUUAUAGCUGUAGUCCAUAUUCCCAUCCGAGCGCGAGGAUCUCAGGUUCUACUAAAUGGUGGUCUACCAC